AAAAUCACCCCCAGCCCUCGCAGGGCAGAAAGGCAGAGCCCUCAGACCGUGUGGCAGCAACACCACACUGGCACCACACCCAGGCACUUCUGCUCACAGCCCUGCCCCUGGCACGGCCAGAGCAGCGUCAGGGAUGUGCUGGCCCCGAGUCCUCAAGCCCUGGUUUUGCCCAUCUUCACCCACUUGGUGCCCUGUCCCUGCUAUGACACGGGACAGGGACUUCAUGUGGACCUGCAGAGUUCACCUCUAUAACAGUUUAGCCACGGCACUGAGCAACACUGUAGUGGGUCCCCAAAGCUUCAAAAACCUCUCUGGAAUAAGUCCCCAAAACCACCUAGAGUUUUCCAGGUUCUAAGGAUGGAAGGUCCUCAAGGAACUGAGAGGAUGAGAGGCAUCCACUGCCCAGUUUGGGAGCCUCUGGGACACUCUCAGCUCUCCCAAGGAUCCUGCUUGCACAGCUCUACACGUGACAGAGACCCCAAGGAAACCAAGGACUAGCACCAAAACACACCCUGUGCUCCUGUGUCACAUGGGGGAGACAGCAAGGGGAAGCCCAGAAACGUGGUGGGCAGCAGCUACAACCUGCUCAAAAAAAACCAAAAUAAAAUCUUUGUUGCCAAAA